CCUCACAGCCGCAAUGCUCUCUUCGCUCCCUAUCUUCUCUUCUUCACCUUUCUCUCCCUUGGCGACAACCCUAGACCAGAUGCCAUGGCCACAUUCUCUAAAACUCAACAAACAGAACCCUAAGCACUAAACGAACAACCUAAGCGACCUAGAGCCUCGACCCCGAAACCCACAUACAAACACUCGGUUGGCCUAAGAACGCGACCCCCGACACUCGGCCAAGUAAAAAAGGAAAGCAGAUUUCAAUCCUGAUUUCUCAGAAAAUUAGGGAGAGAGCCCCGAACAAAAGGAGACAAAUUUCCAUCUUUCACGGGAUUAGGUGUUGCUGGAGAAUGAAACCCGAAAAUUCAAGGUUUAGAUUUCAGCAAAUCUGGAUAGUUCGGCGGUGGCUUCACGUGGGAGUUGAAAAUAGCACGAGUAUGUGUUACUGUAACCGAGUCCGAGUCGAGUUGUAACUGGAUCUGGAUCCGGAUCCGAGUCUUGGGCUUGAUUUUUUUGGGCUGCUAGAUUUGUCUGAUGAUCCUUUGUAGUUGGGCUUUGUUUGGGCUUAUUGUAACCUGUUAAAAAAAGUAUUAAUAAUAUUAAUAAUAUAAUAAUAAUUAUUAUUAUAUCUCGGAUAAAACG